rnacentral:rRNA from 1 species
AAUACUGGACAAUGGGGGCAACCCUGAUCCAGCCAUGCCGCGAGUGUGAAGAAGGUCUUCGGAUUGUAAAGUACUUUAAGUUGGGAGGAAGGGCCGUAGGCUAAUACCCUGCAGUUUUGACGUUACCAACAGAAUAAGCACUGGCUAACUCUGUGCCAGCAGCCGCGGUAAUACAGUGGGUGCAAGCGUUAACCGGAAUUACUGGGCGUAAAGCGGGCGUAGGUGGUUCAGUAAGAUGGGUGUGAAAUCCCCGGGCUUAACCUGGGAACUGCUUUCAUAACUACUGAGCUAGAGUACGGUAGAGGGUAGUGGAAUUUCCUGUGUAGCGGUGAAAUGCGUAGAUAUAGGAAGGAACACCAGUGGCGAAGGCGACUACCUGGACUGAUACUGACACUGAGGUGCGAAAGCGUGGGGAGCA